rnacentral:rRNA from 1 species
GACGAACGCUGGCGGCGUGCUUAACACAUGCAAGUCGAACGGAAAGGCCCUGCUUUUGUGGGGUGCUCGAGUGGCGAACGGGUGAGUAACACGUGAGUAACCUGCCCUUGACUUUGGGAUAACUUCAGGAAACUGGGGCUAAUACCGGAUAGGAGCUCCUGCUGCAUGGUGGGGGUGGGAAAGUUUCGGCGGUGGGGGAUGGACUCGCGGCUUAUCGGCUUGUUGGUGGGGGAGUGGCUUACCAAGGCUUUGACGGGUAGCCGGCCUGAGAGGGUGACCGGCCACAUUGGGACUGAGAUACGGCCCAGACUCCUACGGGAGGCAGCAGUGGGGAAUAUUGCACAAUGGGCGGAAGCCUGAUGCAGCAACGCCGCGUGCGGGAUGACGGCCUUCGGGUUGUAACCCGCUUUCGCCUGUGACGAAGCGUGAGUGACGGUAAUGGGUAAAGAAGCACCGGCUAACUACGUG